ensembl:rRNA 5S_rRNA 5S ribosomal RNA
AUCUAUGGCCAUACCACCCAGACCCCGGAAGGUAAGCAGGGUCGAAACCUGGUCAGUAUUUGGAUGGGAGACCACCUGGGAAUAUAGGAUGUUGUGGGUU